rnacentral:rRNA from 1 species
AACGAACGCUGGCGGCAUGCCUAACACAUGCAAGUCGAACGAGACCUUCGGGUCUAGUGGCGCACGGGUGCGUAACGCGUGGGAACCUGCCCUUAGGUUCGGAAUAACUCCCCGAAAGGGGUGCUAAUACCGGAUAAUGUCUUCGGACCAAAGAUUUAUCGCCUUUGGAUGGGCCUGCGUUGGAUUAGCUAGUUGGUAGGGUAAAAGCCUACCAAGGCGACGAUCCAUAGCUGGUCUGAGAGGAUGAUCAGCCACACUGGGACUGAGACACGGCCCAGACUCCUACGGGAGGCAGCAGUGGGGAAUAUUGGACAAUGGGCGAAAGCCUGAUCCAGCAAUGCCGCGUGAGUGAUGAAGGCCUUAGGGUUGUAAAGCUCUUUUACCUGGGAUGAUAAUGACAGUACCGGGAGAAUAAGCUCCGGCUAACUCCGUG